GCAAUUGACCGAGGCCUGGCUUUUGAACUUGUCUAUAGCCCUGCUAUCAAAGACUCCACAAUGAGAAGGUAUACAAUUUCCAAUGCCCUCAAUUUGAUGCAAAUCUGCAAAGGAAAGAAUGUAAUUAUAUCUAGUGCUGCAGAAAGGCCUUUAGAAAUAAGAGGGCCAUAUGAUGUGGCAAACCUAGGCUUGCUGUUUGGGCUCUCUGAAAGUGAUGCCAAGGCUGCGGUUUCCACCAACUGCCGAGCAGCGCUUCUCCAUGGAGAAACUAGAAAAACUGCUUUUGGAAUUAUUUCUACAGUGAAGAAACCUCGGCCAUCAGAAGAUGAAGAUUGUCUUCCAGCUUCCAAGAAAGCCAAGUGGUCUCACUCUGUCACCCAGGCUGGAGUGCAGUGGCACAAUCUCGGCUCACUGCAACCUUUGCCUCUUGGGCUCAAGCCAUCCUCCCACCUCAGCCUCCCAAGAACUAGAAUUCAAGAAAGACAACUUUGGAUCUCUCGUCAGAGAGAUCAUACUCCCAAGAACAGGCUUUGACCCUUCUGUAAAAGAGGAUUGUCCUGGGCUGAUGAGAGUCACUUUACCUGAAGAUACCUGGGAAGUUUUGUCUCCUCUGAGGUUGGCCCAUGGCCAGUGACUGAUGCAGGACAUUACAGCCCGGCCCACUGGCCUCGGUGGUACAAUUUAUGCUCCUGAGCACCCCAUGGAAUUACACCGUGUGUGGAUUUCUCCUGAAACCACAUACUUGCCUCUUCUGCCCUGUUCUGUUUUUUCUCAUUCCCUUAUAGAGGACUCUCAGUAAGUCACUUGCACAAGAAUCCUAAUUUGAAAUGCUGCUUCCGGGAGACCUGACUUAGAAAAUUGGACAAAUAAAGUUGAUUUUUUUAAAUGUCCAGUAACAUGAAGAUGCUGAACUUUCCUAGUCAUUUAGGGGAAUAUCACCACAAAUAUAUCUGGCUGAUCAGGUUGAAAGUUAAAAGAAAAAAAGAUUUAUAAAGUGGGUAUUUUCAAGAUGGUGUGGAGGGAGAUACAAUUUGAUGCAAGUCUUAUAUUUUUGAUGUCAAUUUAUUCUUCAGAAAUAACUGGUUAAUUAUAAAGGGUGGAUGGAUAAGGAUAUUCACUGCAACAAUGUCUUAAAUGUGAAAAUGGAAACAACCUAAAUACCCAAUAAUAACAGGAUUAAAUAAUUCAUUGUACAUUAAAACAAAAGAAUACUGUCUAUAAAGAUGUCUAGAAUAAGUUGUUCAGUUGAAGUUGUAAAGCUAAAUACACAAUACCCAUAACGUGCACAGAAAUAAUCAGAAUGUCGUGAAACCAGGA
rnacentral:sRNA from 1 species